AGAAGAACAGAAAGAUGAGACAGAAAAGUAUGAUUGCCUAACAUACAGUUUUGGAUCUUGUGGAAGUCUUGCUUUACAUGGCACAGAAGUGAUUUACAGUUCAUCCUACCGAGAAAAAGAACUUCUAGCCUUUGAUUCUGUCUACCUGAAAAGAGAAGACAACCAAACCUUCAGUGGUGUGUUCAAUUCCACAUAGGAAAUAAGAAGAAGAGAUAAGAUUCUUGGAUUCAUUUCUAGGAAAGGAGGAAAGAAAGACAAGCACAUAAUUGGGAGAUGUCAGAAGCCUAAAGCUUGUGAGAAUUAAUUUUGCAAAAGAAUCACGGAGCUUCAGCACAAGACUACUUCCCUACAACCUCCUCAUCCAGUAACUUUGAUCAAGCAUUUCUUCAGUGAGAUUUAAAGAACAGAUUACUUGAAGUGUAUUACAUGAAGCUGCAUAAGCCGAUUUAAGCCUGCAUCAUACAUUUUGGAUAGUCUCCGAUGGAUCAAGACUUCAGGUUGUGUUAUAGAAUCAGCAAUAAUCUUAGACAUUUGACUAAGUCACCUAACAUGAAUGAGACCUUCGUGGAUCAUUUCGUUCUGUUUUACUCUGGAACAAAUAUAAGCAUGCUGAGAUCUAGAGACCUGGUGUUCCACUGUAAUUGGGUAUGCAUUUAAAUUAGAGAACUGUGAGCUGAAAGAUACUUAUUUUAGCAUCAUUUUCAGUUAGCCAGGGGAAAAUCUGCAAACCCUGUCUAACCAGCUGGGCCUGAAGAGCUUAGAGGUUGGAUGCACCACUGGCAGAUAUCACCAUUUUUUUUUAAUGUUGGUAUUUUGUUUCUGCCACACCACUAGCUGUAAAGCAUUGCAAAUAAAUCCUAUUAUUUUUUCUUCUUUUCUAAUGUAUUAUUUCCACACUUAUGAUUUCAGAAAGAUGCUAUUUCCAAAGUUUGGGUUUAAAGCUUAGCAUUUCUUGGAUGACACCUGUCUCAAUGUUUUAUCAUAUAUAUAGGUGAAUUUCCAUUUACAGCUUAGCUCUUGCAAUGCUACUUGUUUCAUCUUUGAAUUCAGUGUGUAUAUCUGCAUUGUUAAAAGAAGCUUCCCUUUCCCUCCUACCUUUUUAUUAUUAUUUUUGUUUAUUUUUCAUUUUUCUCUCUAAAAUGAAGCUUUUUUGGAAAGGAGAAAAAGAAGUUAAUCUCUUAACUCCAUCAUGUAACUAAAGCUAGACAUGUUCAGAAUAUUUCAUGAAUCUUAGUAUAACUGGUGAAAUAGAUUUUUUUCUCUGAGGUUCUUUUCUUGAGUAUCAGGAACAGUAGCAUUGUUACUAAGAUGCGGAUGAAGAACAGUUUAUGUUGCAUUAAUGUCAACGAGAAUUUCAAAAGUCUCUGUAGAACUAGCUAAUUGGGAAUGUUUACAGAAGCAAUUCUUAGAAAGAAAUUUUUCAUGUAAAACAGUUUCAUUAUUGUAAUAAAUGAACACAAAUAUGGGUUAUACUUUGCUCUUUAAAAGUAAUAAAAUUUUCUUU
ensembl:lncRNA